GAUGAACGCUGGCGGCGUGCCUAAUACAUGCAAGUCGAGCGAACGGACGAGAAGCUUGCUUCUCUGAUGUUAGCGGCGGACGGGUGAGUAACACGUGGUUAACCUACCUAUAAGACUGGGAUAACUUCGGGAAACCGGAGCUAAUACCGGAUAAUAUUUUGAACCGCAUGGUUCAAAAGUGAAAGACGGUCUUGCUGUCACUUAUAGAUGGAUCCGCGCUGCAUUAGCUAGUUGGUAAGGUAACGGCUUACCAAGGCAACGAUGCAUAGCCGACCUGAGAGGGUGAUCGGCCACACUGGAACUGAGACACGGUCCAGACUCCUACGGGAGGCAGCAGUAGGGAAUCUUCCGCAAUGGGCGAAAGCCUGACGGAGCAACGCCGCGUGAGUGAUGAAGGUCUUCGGAUCGUAAAACUCUGUUAUUAGGGAAGAACAUAUGUGUAAGUAACUGUGCACAUCUUGACGGUACCUAAUCAGAAAGCCACGGCUAACUACGUG
rnacentral:rRNA from 1 species